UAAACAUUCAGACUAGUAAGACAAAGUCAACUCACAAUGAAAAACAGCAAAGAAAACUCUCUCUACCCAAAACUGUUCUGACCCAUCUCUCAAAGGAUCCAGUUCCUGCUGAUCAUGUUGUCCUGCUGACCUUUUUGUGUAGACUGAAGCUCAUUGUUCUUUCAGUGAUGUCAAGCAGGCUUUGCUUACCUGUAGAGUCACAACAAACCCUCGGGGGAUCGUCCAAGCAGAGCAUCUCUGAAGUGCAUGCUUUAAUCAGGAGAUUAAGGCAUGCAUGAUCUGGAAGGUUAAAUUUAGAACACCUCUCAGAAUCUGAAAUAGCGUUUACACAGAUUAACUUGGGGCAUAUAUGCAGACUUUACAUAUAGAAGCUCUCUCUGACUGGAUUGCACUCCACCAGUAUCAUGCUACAGGCCCUUAAACACAAAGGACAAAAUAGGUUGGUUGGUUGGUUGGUUAGUUUCUUGCAUAACAACCCAUUUGACCAUUACAAUGACAAUUUGGGAGGUUAUGGAUUGAAGGUUUGAAGGCAAUGAUUGUGGUCGUGGUUAAAGGAAACCAACAUUGACUGUUUGUAGGAGAUAAGAUCUUAUAUCUCCAGUGUGCUGUAUGUUGACCUGAAACUGCUUUCUCAACCAGCAGACCGGACAGUGAUGACCAACACUUUCAUCUCAAACUGGCUAUCCCACACUGCCAUCUAUGGGUCAGUGAGUGAACACCAGCCAAGAAAAAGAACACAUAAGGCUGCCCUUACAUAAGUGAUCUAUAAACCAACGGUGUGUUGUAUGGCUUACAGUAAGCAGGCUGAGAUGAUGCUCAGCUGGGGGAUCCUACCAAGGAGGCAACACCAGCUCGACACGCCAUUCUGAUUUACACGUGACCCACAUUGAUGCACUAGUUUUGUGCUUCUGACAGAUCGAGGGGGAGUGAAAGAGAUGGACAGAGAGAGACAGAGAGGCUGCCAUUUUAUGCAUCCAAUCCCAGUCCCUUUUCGGCCACAAAACAAGCGCAGACACGCGUACAGUAAUUCAGAGUCUCUCCGAUGCAGUGAACCCAAUCCCAUCAGUUUAAGGAGGAUAAAUUCUGGCAGAGGGAAUUUAUCUGCAGCCAAGAUUUAUUUACUGGAAACAACUUUGGGUUUUCUUUCUCUAGCAGUCUGUCUCUUUCUUCUUUUUCACUCUGCCCUCAUGCUGUUUCUGCCUCCCGCUGUGUGUGUUGUCCUGCAGGUUCUGUGCGAGCUCAGCCAGGUCGAUAGGCGCUAAUGAAAGCCGCCUUUAUGAAGGUGUCAGCUGCUUUCCCUCACAGGAGCAAGCACCUCUA